rnacentral:lncRNA from 1 species
CAGGUUAAAGGAGGGAUGGUGUUUGAAUUGGCCAAUUCCAUAGUGCUUCCUUUUGACUGUCGAGAUUAUGCUGUAGUUUUAAAAAAGUAUGCUGACAAAAUCUACAAUAUUUCAAUGAAACAUCCACAGGAAAUGAAAACAUACAGUGUAUCAUUUGAUGCACUGUUUUCUGCAGUAAAGAAUUUUACAGAAAUUGCUUCUAAGUUCAGCAAGAGACUUCAAGAUUUAGACAAAAGCAACUAAGUUCUACAUUUAUUUAUGUAUAUAACAGAUAUAAUUAACAGGAAAUAC